ensembl:misc_RNA 7SK 7SK RNA
CGAUGUGAGGGCGAUCUGGCUGCGACAUCUGUCACCCCAUUGAUCGCCAGGGUUGAUUCGGCUGAUCUGGCUGGCUAGGCGGGUGUUCUCUUUCUCCCUCACCGCUCCAUAUGCGUCCCUCCCGAAGCUGCGCACUCGGUUGAAGAGGACGACCUUCCCUGAUAGAGGAGGACCGUUCUUUGGUCAAGGGUAUACGAGUAGCUGCGCUCCCCUGCUAGAACCUCCAAACAAGCUCUCAAGAUGGUACGCAGGAAGAGAUACUUGAGGUGGUUUCAAAAGCCCAGGAACAGUGAGGUCUG